rnacentral:rRNA from 1 species
CCUUACUACUUGGAUAACCGUGGUAAUUCUAGAGCUAAUACAUGCUAAAAACCCCAACUUCGGGAGGGGUGUAUUUAUUAGAUAAAAAACCAAUGCCCUUCGGGGCUCUUUGGUGAUUCAUGAUAACUUAACGGAUCGCAUGGCCUUGCGCCGGCGACGGUUCAUUCAAAUUUCUGCCCUAUCAACUUUCGAUGGUAAGGUAUUGGCUUACCAUGGUUUCAACGGGUAACGGGGAAUUAGGGUUCGAUUCCGGAGAGGGAGCCUGAGAAACGGCUACCACAUCCAAGGAAGGCAGCAGGCGCGCAAAUUACCCAAUCCCGACACGGGGAGGUAGUGACAAUAAAUACUGAUACAGGGCUCUUUUGGGUCUUGUAAUUGGAAUGAGUACAAUUUAAACCCCUUAACGAGGAACAAUUGGAGGGCAAGUCUGGUGCCAGCAGCCGCGGUAAUUCCAGCUCCAAUAGCGUAUAUUAAAGUUGUUGCAGUUAAAAAGCUCGUAGUUGAAACUUGGGCCUGGCUGUCUGGUCCGCCUCACCGCGUGUACUGGUUCGGCCGGGCCUUUCCUUCUGGAGAGCCUCAUGCCCUUCACUGGGUGUGUUGGGGAACCAGGACUUUUACUUUGAAAAAAUUAGAGUGUUCAAAGCAGGCCUUUGCUCGAAUACGUUAGCAUGGAAUAAUAGAAUAGGACGUGCGAUCCUAUUUUGUUGGUUUCUAGGACCGCCGUAAUGAUUAAUAGGGAUAGUCGGGGGCAUCAGUAUUCAAUUGUCAGAGGUGAAAUUCUUGGAUUUAUUGAAGACUAACUACUGCGAAAGCAUUUGCCAAGGAUGUUUUCAUUAAUCAGUGAACGAAAGUUAGGGGAUCGAAGACGAUCAGAUACCGUCGUAGUCUUAACCGUAAACUAUGCCGACUAGGGAUCGGGCGAUGUUAUUAUUUUGACUCG